GUAAGGAAUAUUGGUCAAUGGAGGCAACUCUGAACCAGCCAUGCCGCGUGCAGGAAGACGGCCCUCUGGGUUGUAAACUGCUUUUAUCCGGGAAUAAACCUGCCUUCGUGAAGGUAGCUGAAUGUACCGGAAGAAUAAGGAUCGGCUAACUCCGUGCCAGCAGCCGCGGUAAUACGGAGGAUCCAAGCGUUAUCCGGAUUUAUUGGGUUUAAAGGGUGCGUAGGCGGCCUGUUAAGUCAGGGGUGAAAGACGGUGGCUCAACCAUCGCAGUGCCCUUGAUACUGAUGGGCUUGAAUGGACUAGAGGUAGGCGGAAUGUGACAAGUAGCGGUGAAAUGCAUAGAUAUGUCACAGAACACCGAUUGCGAAGGCAGCUUACUAUGGUCCUAUUGACGCUGAGGCACGAAAGCGUGGGGAUCGAACAGGAUUAGAUACCCUGGUAGUCC
rnacentral:rRNA from 1 species